AUGUGCUUUUAUUUGUGCUUUAUUUGUGCUAUUUGGGCUUUUAUUAUCUAUCUGAAGGAGCGUCAGAUAUUAGAUUUUUAAUAAUUCGAGAAGAUUUAAGUUCUCGUGUUGUCUGUCUUUUGUUAAGAAUAACUUAAGCAUGGAUUGCGUGUUUAAUCUUUCAUUUGAAAGAUGGUGUCUUUUAAAUUUUGAUGGCAAGUCUGGAUGAUGUCUUGCAAAUCCUGUUGCACAAUUGUCCGGACCCGGAAAUGGAUAAGUACAAUUCUUGACUUUUUUUUUUUCAUUUUUGUUAAAAGUUCGUCUUUUAUGUUAUGGAAAAUGAUUUAAAAUAUUCAUAAAAAUUUCAUUUUCCCCAAAAAUAUUUUUUAGCCAUCAGUACUGUAGAUUGAAGAAAAAACAAUAUUCACGUAAACAUCGGUUGCGUCUGACAUUUAUGGUUUAUCUCAUCUCAUCUUGUCUUAAAUGAUUGUCUAUAUAAGCAAAAGAAUGGAUGGAAGUUAAUGAGAAUCAGAAAAUUUUACCCCUAACAAUAGGUCCUUUUACUCCCUCCGCCUCGUGUUUCUUUUGGACUCCUAAUUUUCAUCCGCUGACUAAACUAUUGGGGCCAUUUUUUUCAGAUAUUUUUAUUAUUUUGAGGGCCAUAGAUCGAGUCUGUGAAAAAAAUUAAAUUUCGUCCAGGGCUUACACGCCUGUACUUCGAUUGAGAUCAAUUACGUUUUAAGCGACGUGAACUCAUUUGUUAUUAUAGGUAAGUAUUAUCAUUGCUUGUUUUAACAUUUUGUUAUUAAUUGUUACAUAAGCGGCUACAAAUAAAUUACUUUUCGGUUUUUCAGGGGAUAACUAUUUAUAUCCUGAUCAAAUUUACCCAAGUAUUAACUUACCAUUAAGAAAGGGAUAAGAGUCUAACGUGCUUUUAAGGAUUCGCUAUUUAUAAAUUUCCUCGUUUUCAUACAAAUACAGCUAGUAGGGCUCAUAUUAUUAUUCACUUUUUUGUUUUGUAUCUUCAUGUUUUACUAGUUCUUUGAAAUUAAGAAACGAACACAAAAAGGCACCUAGUCUCAACAGAAAAGUGCAAUCUCAACAACAAGCUUGUGGCGAUAACCAAGAACUGCCUCGUCUUCAACUUGCUCAACUGUUUAAAUUUUCAGCAACUGCUCUUUUAAAAUCUCAAAGCUCUGUAUAUCGGCAAAUUAUAUUUACACAAAAAGAAUCCUGGUUGCUUUCUUGUAUGAAUAUAAUUGUAUGCGAUUGACUUCAGAAAUUAAUUAGGCCUAACU